rnacentral:tRNA from 1 species
GCCCUUAUAGCUCAGUGGUAGAGCGCAGCACUCGUAUUAUCGGUCACGGGUCCACAACCCGUAAAUGAAAUGAUCAUGCUGAGGUCCGCGGUUCAAUCCCGCGUGGGGGCA